rnacentral:sRNA from 1 species
UCUUAACCUACCGUCGGACACUCCUGCAUAAGAUCGUAACAUUAGAACUCGCCUUUCCUCAUUAUAUCCUUAACCUUGUGUAGUCUCAAGUUCAUGGCGCACUAUAUCGCAUCCAAAGAAGAAAGGAAGAAGAAAGAACGAGCUAAGAUGGAGAAAGGUCUGUGCUAUAGAAACGGCACAUUACGGAGUUAUUGUUGAAUAAUGGUUUAUUCGGCUAGUACCAGCGCGUAUCUAUCCAACCAGAAUCAGGUACAUAAAGGCUUACCUGGUACCAACGCUUAGCUCUCUGUCUAAUCAGAGUCAGAUAGAGGAAAGCAGUAGAAACCAAACUACGAUGGACCUAUAUACCUUUCUACGCUCGCCACUACAAGCUAAAUGAUAUCUAGGUAUCCACCUCGCUAAUCUAUAAGCAGGCCAUCGGUGACUUAAUCUGACAUCAUGGCCUCUCUUUUCUAUGUUAUCCCAAUCCCUACCUCGCUACCAUUCUCCCAACACCCGUCCCCCCCCACCCCCCGAGCGUGAUACCGAGACGGCGAGUGUGGUCGGAGCGAGAGUUGCCAGUGCCCUUCGAUGGGCGAGGCAGUAUAGCGAGCAAGGAAGGAAGCAGCAAAUGCGAUGUCGGUCCAUUGUAAGAACAGAGUUGUGGCUGGGCGAAAGGGGUUCUGUCGUUCAACAGCUCGACAUUUUUCUCUACGCCCUUCGCAUAGCCUCAUAUCGAAGCCAAG